rnacentral:rRNA from 1 species
CACGUAGGGUGCGAGCGUUGUCCGGAAUUAUUGGGCGUAAAGAGCUCGUAGGCGGUGUGUCGCGUCGGCCGUGAAAACCUGCAGCUUAACUGUGGGCUUGCGGUCGAUACGGGCAUCACUGGAGUUCGGCAGGGGAGACUGGAAUUCCUGGUGUAGCGGUGAAAUGCGCAGAUAUCAGGAGGAACACCGGUGGCGAAGGCGGGUCUCUGGGCCGAAAUUGACG